rnacentral:sRNA from 1 species
GGACUCUAAUUUAGGCAAAGCAACAGCAGGUGUGGAUGUGAGGAGGCAAAAGAAGACAGGGGGUGGUUAUAUAACUACAUUACCACCCAUAUUUUUCCCAUUUAUAGUCUUUAAGCUCACAUCAUCUGCAUAAUUCUAGAGUUAUACAAGAAAAUGAUGCUUAAUACUACUAACGUUACUUUAUGGCAAUGUAAAUGCUUUAUAUGAUCUGAUGGACCAAUAUAUCUACAUGCUUAGAAACAAUAUGCUAUAGGAAGUUUAGAGUCUGAGUUUUUGAAUGAGAGAGGCCUUGGUUCAGAGUCCAGUUCUUCCAUUUCCUAGCUCUGUGACCUUGGGUUAAGCUUCAGUUUUCUGAUUUAAAAAUUGGGGAUUUUCUGUCUCAUAAAUUUACUGUGAGAAUUGAAUGAGAAGAUGAGUAUUGAGAAGCUAGUACAUUGUUUCAACUCUAGUUAGCUUUCUUAAGCAUUUUUUGCCCCUACCCUUAGUUCUGUUUUACUGUGAGCAACUUUCUUUUUUCUUUUUACUCCUCUAGGGAUAUGAAGCCUGACAAUAUUUUACUUGAUGAACACGGGCACGUGCACAUCACAGAUUUCAACAUUGCUGCGAUGCUGCCCAGGGAGACACAGAUUACCACCAUGGCUGGCACCAAGCCUUACAU